GAAUCGAGAAAGACUGUCCAAAUGCCUACAAGAGGAAAACAGAGCACACUAUUAAACUACUGAAGCUCUAAAUAUGUUGUCAACAAUAAUGAGCACCUGCAUAGCCAGAGGGAAUGAAAUAGACUGUGUUCUUUUCUGAGAGUAGCUGACCUAACAGUAUGAAUAAAAAGGCUUCCUAUAUCUUCAAGGAAAGAUAAAUGAGCUGAGUACCAAAAAGAGGCCAUCUACAUUACUGCUCUGAAGCAACCUGGAGGAAAGCAAAGUUCAAACCAUGAUAUCAGAAAUUGUGGAGUUACCAUUUAGUUAUGAAAAAUGGGAAAAAAGGUAAGAGCAUAAUAAUUUUGUUUUACUAUAAUACAUAAAAAUAAUAUAUAAAGCAAAACAAAAAUAAACAACAGUAAUAAAAUAGUACAUAAUAUA